UUUUUUUUUUUUUUUUAAUUUUCUCAGUUUUUCUUUGGUUUUUUCCGGUUUUUCUCCGAGAAAAAGACAGGAGAAAAG
rnacentral:ribozyme from 1 species